AGCGUUACGCCGGAUGAACGGGAAUCAUUGAUGUUGAUUAUCAUGGGAUUUAAUGUCUCUAAUGCUA
rnacentral:tRNA from 1 species